rfam:Nicotiana attenuata strain TT chromosome 5, whole genome shotgun sequence.
UUGCUUGCUGGUGCAGCACCAUCAAGAUUCACGUAGAAAUAUGGAGCAAAAAUUAAGAUGAAAUCUGCCCUAUUAAUUUGAUAUGAGAAUCUUGAUGAUGCUGCAUUAGCAAAUGA